rnacentral:rRNA from 1 species
CUACGGGCCGCAGCAGUGGGGAAUAUUGGACAAUGGGGGAAACCCUGAUCCAGCAAUGCCGCGUGUGAAGAAGGCCUGCGGGUUGUAAAGCACUUUCGGUUGGGAGGACUGCUUCUAGCACUAAUAUUGUUGGAAGUUGACGUUACCUUCAGAAGAAGCACCGGCUAACUCCGUGCCAGCAGCCGCGGUAAUACGGAGGGGGCAAGCGUUAAUCGGAAUUACUGGGCGUAAAGCGCGCGUAGGCGGCUAGAUCAGUCGGGUGUGAAAGCCCCGGGCUUAACCUGGGAACUGCAUCCGAUACUGGCUAGCUUGAGUACAGGAGAGGAGAGUGGAAUUCCACAUGUAGCGGUGAAAUGCGUAGAUAUGUGGAGGAACACCAAUGGCGAAGGCAGCUCUCUGGCCUGAUACUGACGCUGAGGUGCGAAAGCGUGGGGAGCAAACAGGAUUAGAUACCCCUGUAGUC